rnacentral:piRNA from 1 species
UGGAGAGCUGCCACAACCAGAACAUUC